CUUCUGCCAUACAGCCAUUCACUCUUCUCCUCUUCAGCUCCUCUCCACUUGUGCCUUUCUGCCUUACCUCUAUCCGCUCAUCUCCCUUUCUGCUCUUCUCGUCUGCGCGUCUUCCUUACCUUCACCCUCUCCUUUUUCUUCUGCUCUUCUCCUCUUCUGCUCAUCUCCUCUUCCCGUUGUUUUGCUGCCUUGCCUGCCUCCGCUCCUUUCCUGUGUUGCCCCUUUUGUCCGCUGCUCUUCUUUCUUACCUGCAUCCUUUCUCAUUUCUCUCUUCUCCUCUUCUUUAGUUCUGUCUUACCUGUAUCUGCUCUUCUCGCCUCCUGCUCUUCUGCUCUGCUCAGCGUCCAAUGCCUGCACCGCAGCUCUAUGUCAGAAUUACUUUUGGGGUGGAGAAAGAUACUCAUAUAUUUGUGUGUGAUUUUAUAUGAUUGAACAGGAAAAGGAACUAGUUAAAGACAUCUAUAUUGAAGGACAUGUUCUCAACAUGACCAGUACUUCUCUAAGAAGCAAAAUGAUGGAAAAUAAUGAGCUAAGCUUUUAGUGUUUGCUGGAAGUGCUUCUGGAGUGAGACAGUCAAGUCUGCAGCUCACAAAAGGUUGUCAUAGCACUUGGCACACUGUACCUCAUCCUAAAUCCAGCUUGCUAUCUACUGCGACUGAAACUUUUGAAGUGGAAUGGAGAUUGCUGCAGGAUGGGGAAUAAAAAUCUGCUGGUCUUGCUGCUGCCAGUAUAGAUGAGCAGAUAUAGUGAUUGCAGUCCUGUUUAUCUGACUUGUAAAGUUUUACAUCCUAAAUAUAUUUUGCUGAUCAUUUCAUUCACGUUAGUGAACAGUGUAAAUUAACAUUCUGUGCACUAGAAAAUUAUGUUAUGUGGGGUAAGUUUUCUCCAUUCAGAAAGAGAUGAUAAUUUUCAUGUUGCUGCAACAGUUAAGUUUUGGCAUAGAGGUUAAGGGCUCUGUAGAGCGAAAAUCUCAAGCAGAUACCAUACCUGGUGUUCUCAAGUGACUGUACAUUUUUAUUUUGUAAGUUUGGUCAUGACCCUAAUACAGAGUUCACUACUGGAAAUGAAGACAUACAUGUCUCAUGACAGGAAAAAACAAACAAAUAAACAACAACAACAACAAUAAAAAACCACAGCAACAAGAACAAAACCAUUAAGCUUACAAGAUUCUUUUUAAUGGAAAUGAAGUAACAGGUUGGAGAAAUCUGUUUGUUCGUCCUGUAUCAGGAACAGCAGGGGGCAGAUAGAAGUAGUUCCUACUUCCAGCAGCUCAACUGCAGCAGGAAAAGCUGGGAAUGCAGAAGGAGUGAGAAGAUCCAAACAACAGCACAGCAUUUUAAUAUGAGUUUUUCCUGGUGAGUGUUGAGCAUUUCUGAACAUUGUUCUUAAUGUGAUAUUAAGUUAAAAGAUCAUAAAAUCACAGAACAGUUUGGGUUGGAAGGAACCUUAGAGAUCAUCUUAUUUCAGCACACCCUGCUGUGGACAAGGACACCUCCCACUAGACCAGGUUGCUCAAAGCACUAUCCAGCCUGGCCUUCAACAUUUCCAGAGAGGAUGUAUCCACAACUUCUGUGAAUUCCCAUAGGACCCUUAUUAAUAAUCUUUGAUUGCUCUUUGGAUUGAUCAGUAGGCAGAACUUGAGUUACUUUAUGGAAAUAAAGAGUAAAGAAUCAAGAGAAUAAAGACUGAAUGCUAUUUUCUUUUACAGAGAGCUAACAGCUUACAGAAACUGAACAACAGGAAGUCUUGGAAAGGGGAUUCUACAGGAGUGUUAAAGUCUUGCUUGCCCCAAGGCAGCCUGUGCAUUCCAGGAGCCAGGGAGAGAGGACAGGUAGGAAGAUAGAAGAUGGGUCUAACAGACAAACAACGACAACAACAGCAACAAAACACAACAGCAACAAUCUAAAGCCUGUCCUGCCUUCCCACUGCAUCCCCUCCUAGUCAAACAUAUGUAUGUUAUCACUGUCCUGCAUGUGUUGGAGCAAGUUUACAGAUGACACCAAGCUGAGUGGUGCAGCUGAUAUGAUGGAAGGAAGGAAUGCCAUCCAGAGAGACCUGGAGAAGCUCAAAGGAUGGGCCUGCGUGAACACAGUGAGGUUCAACAAGCCCAAGUGCAAGAUGAGCUGGGAGAAGAACUCUUUUAGAACAGCUCUGAGGAGAAGGACUUGGAGGUCCUGGUAGAUGAAAAACUUAACAUGAGCCAGCAGUGUGCACUUGUAGCCUGGAAGGACAACCGUAUCUUGGGCUGCAUUAAAAAGAGGGGUGGCCUGCAGGGAGAAGGAGUUGAUUAUACCUCUUUAUUCUGCCCCUGUAGGGCCCCAUCUGCAGUACUACAUCAAGAGAAAACAAACAGAGCAAUCAAACAAAACAACAAAAGUAAUUUAAGCAAAAUUAAGCAAAGCUCAGCCCCAUCCACCAUUGCUGUAAAGUCCCCCUAGCCUCCCAGUUUUCCAUUAUAUUUCAUGAGGAAUGGGAAAGAAUCCCUCUCACUUUGAGAGAUGUACAGUCUCUACCCACAGAUGUAAAUGUCCAAGGAAGAUAUAAGAAGAAAUUCACCACAGUCUGAUAAAAAACAAACAAACAAACAAAACCUACAUGCAUAACUGGAAAAAUAAAGAGAGUAUUUGAUGAAAACUGCAGCAUAUAUGUGGUAAAUAAUUUUCAUCUUAUGGAAAUCUGUCUUUCAAUGUUUGAACAUGGGAUUUUCUGCAUCAAAGUAAAAGAUGUGUUGACCAUAAGCCUAUUUAUUAAAAAUAUGAGUUUUACAAUCACAUUGUAACCUACUUAAUUGCUAAAUUAUGAAAUUUAUGUGGAAUUUCAUAAAAAAAAUCCACAGGGAAAUAUGCAGUAAUUAAAAUACAAAUAUCAAAAUUUUAUUUAUGAUUGUAAAUUCAUGUUUAAUUACUGAAAUUAAAUUUUUUCUAGCUUUAAGCAUUUCACCAGGAUCUUGAUAAAGUUUGAAUUUUUAAUGUAUAUUAAGAACUAAUGUGUAGACUAGUAAAUGCUUAUUAAUGUUACAAUAUGAAUUUAAUUUAAAAUGAAAAUAUUUUUUCUAGUAUACCUAUUGCUUAUUAACGUAAAUAUGAUUUAGUUUACCUGAAUCACAUAAGCAGGAUUUUAGCUGCCCAUAGUUGACCUGAAACGCCAUUGCUUCUCAUACUGUUAGUUUUUUAUAUGCUCAUAAAUAGUUGUGCCAUAAGUACUCAUAAUACAUAAAUAGUGCCAUAAGUACCCAGCUACAUUGUUAGUCUCAGUGUAUGGUCUGUCAUGGCUUUGAAAGUAUAGAGGCAAGCACAAACAAUUAUGCUUUUAAGUAAUAGUAAAUGCAUAUCAUUCCUUUCAGACAUGUUUUGCAGAACUGUAUUCAAUAAAUUAUUCCAGCUUCUCUCUUGAA